CCUACGGGUGGCUGCAGUGAGGAAUAUUGGUCAAUGGACGAGAGUCUGAACCAGCCAAGUAGCGUGAAGGAUGACUGCCCUCUGGGUUGUAAACUUCUUUUAUAUGGGAAUAAAACGUUUCACGUGUGGGAUUUUGUAUGUACCAUAUGAAUAAGGAUCGGCUAACUCCGUGCCAGCAGCCGCGGUAAUACGGAGGAUCCGAGCGUUAUCCGGAUUUAUUGGGUUUAAAGGGAGCGUAGGUGGAUUGUUAAGUCAGUUGUGAAAGUUUGCGGCUCAACCGUAAAAUUGCAGUUGAAACUGGCAGUCUUGAGUACAGUAGAGGUGGGCGGAAUUCGUGGUGUAGCGGUGAAAUGCUUAGAUAUCACGAAGAACUCCGAUUGCGAAGGCAGUUCACUGGACUGCAACUGACGCUGAGGCUCGAAAGUGUGGGUAUCAAACAGGAUUAGAUACCCCAGUAGUC
rnacentral:rRNA from 1 species